rnacentral:rRNA from 1 species
UCCACGCCCUAAACGAUGAACACUAAUCGUCGGAGAGCUUGUCUCUUCGGUGAUGCACUUAACAGAUUAAGUGUUCCGCCUGGGGAGUACGGUCGCAAGAUUAAAACUCAAAGGAAUAGACGGGGACCCGCACAAGUGGUGGAGCAUGUGGUUUAAUUCGAAGAUACGCGAAGAACCUUACCUAGCCUUGACAUUGAAGAAACACAGUAGAGAUACAGUGGUGCCCUUCGGGG